CUCAUACUCCCUCCGUCUAAAAAUACUUGUCGGAAAAAUGAAUAAAAAUGAAUGUAUAUAGAACUAAAAUACGUCUAGAUACAUGCAUUUCUCCGGCAAGUAUUUUCAGACGGAGUGAGUAUAAA
rnacentral:pre_miRNA from 1 species